UGUGUAGGCGGUUGGAUAAGUGUGGUGUGAAAUCUCCCGGCUUAACUGGGAGGGUGCGCUACAAACUGUCUGACUAGAGUGUGGGAUAGGAGAGUGGAAUUCCUGGUGUAGCGGUGAAAUGCGUAGAUAUCAGGAGGAACACCGGUGGUGUAGACGGCUCUCUGGACCAUAACUGACGCUGAGACACGAAAGCGUGGGUAGCAAACAGGAUUAGAUACCCUGGUAGUCCACGCCCUAAACGAUGCAUAUUUGGUGUGGGUCAUUCAUUUGAUCCGUGCCGGAGCUAACGCGUUAAAUAUGCCGCCUGGGGAGUACAGUCGCAAGGCUGAA
rnacentral:rRNA from 1 species